UACGUAGGGGGCGAGCGUUGUCCGGAGUUACUGGGCGUAAAGGGCAUGCAGGCGGUCGGACGCGUUUCGGGUGACAGCGGGUGGCUUAACUACCCGAGUGGUCGAAAGACGGUUUGACUUGAGGACGCGAGAGGGACACGGAAUUCCGGGUGGAGUGGUGAAAGUGCGUAGAGAUCCGGAAGGAACACCGAAGGCGAAGGCAGUGUCCUGCGC
rnacentral:rRNA from 1 species